GGAGAGGUGGUAGAGUUGGUCGAUUGCGUCUGAUUUGAAAUCAGAUGAACCUGUAUAAGGUUCCGUGGGUUCGAAUCCCACCCUCUCCG
rnacentral:tRNA from 1 species